rnacentral:siRNA from 1 species
UUGUAGGUUCUAAGAGGGUC